CGGAGCUGUGGCGGCGGGCUGUGCGGAAGCUGUGCGGAGCUGUGCGGAGGUGUACGGAGCUGUGCGGGGCUGUGCGGGGCUGUGCGGAGCUGUACGGGGCUGUACGGAGCUGUACGGAGCUGUGCGGGGCUGUGCGGAGCUGAGCGCGGGCCGUGAUGGCGCGAUGCCGCUCGGAGCUGCCCAAGUGGCUGCGCCGUGUUUGGGUGACCGCUACAAACCGCACGGCUGCCAGGGCGGCUUCACCGGCUGCUCGUGAGCUGCAGCACCCGGAGCUGCUGGCGGGGAGCACGGCCGGCAUGUAACAACGUUGGGUCCAGCUAUCCACAGCUCCUGGAGAAACGAGACGCUGGGAAAUAGGAGCGUGGCAGGACCUCUGAGCCGUCUCAGCACCGCCUGCAGCACCGGGGCCCCGUGCUGAGCGCAGGCCGGGCUGGCGGACUGUGUGGGGUAUCCACCUACCGCCAACCCACCUCCCUCAGUACAACUCCUGAAUGGUUCCCAACACUGCAGGGACGGUGACUCCACCACCUCCUCGUGCAGCCCGUUCCGCUGCCUGACCACUCUUUGGAGAAGACGUUAUUCCUAACAUCCAGCCUGAACCCCCCUGGAGCAACUUGAGGCCAUUCCCUCCAGUCCUGUCACUAGUUAUGCAGGAGCAGAGGCCGACACCACCCCUCCCCCCCUACCAGCCACAUCCUCCCUUUAGGUAGUUGUAGAGAGCAAUGAGGUCCCCCCUGAGCCUUCUCAUUUCCAGACUGAACAAUGCCAGCUCCCUCAGCUUAUGGUGAGCAUGGGGACACCCGCUCUGCCCGUGCUGGAGGUUUCCACUGGGGCUGCUCAGCUCUGCAAGGAACCGACCAUUUGGGAAUGUGUGGCUGUUUCAGGGCUGGGGAUGGAUCCUUCUCUGGGGACACCUCCAGUUGCUCAGCUGUGAACCCCCAGUGAUUGCAGCCACAGCAGCCCCAAGGAGCAGCCCUGAGCACGGCACCUGGGGAUGUGGGGAAGCUGUACCCAGGGCACAGGACUGAGACAGUCUGAGGUGCUGGGAACUGCAGCCAACACGGCCUUCCAGCAGCAAAGGAGUUUACCUACAGCAAACAAUGAAGAGCACUCAGAAAAUGCUGAACAUCAGGUGGUGACCUCACUUGACAUAAAUCUGGGUGUUAAAUUUACACUUCUCUGAAAAGAAAAAAAGAAAAUAAUAAUAAAAAAGACUUUAUUUGCAAAGAUGAA